rnacentral:lncRNA from 1 species
GUGGGCUUAGGUUGUGGCUGCAAAGUACUGAUUUAAUAUAAAUAUACCUAUUACUAUAGGGCCAGGAAUUGCUCUGCUAUAUGGCACCAGAUAUCUUCUUCUACUUCCCAUGUGCAAUAUAAAUUCGUAUGGGUUCUUAGAGAUGGGUCUCGCAUGAACCUAUUAUAAUGAUGUUAUACUAUUAAAAUAUAAUUAUUAGGAUAUAAUAAU